rnacentral:rRNA from 1 species
UACGGAGGGGACUAGCGUUGUUCGGAAUUACUGGGCGUAAAGCGCACGUAGGCGGAUUUGUAAGUCAGGGGUGAAAUCCCGGGGCUCAACCUCGGAACUGCCUUUGAUACUGCAAAUCUCGAGUCCGGAAGAGGUGAGUGGAAUUCCUAGUGUAGAGGUGAAAUUCGUAGAUAUUAGGAAGAACACCAGUGGCGAAGGCGGCUCACUGGUCCGGUACUGACGCUGAGGCGCGAAAGCUAGGGGAGCAAACGGGG